rnacentral:rRNA from 1 species
GAUGAACGCUGGCGGCGUGCCUAAUACAUGCAAGUCGAGCGAACAGACGAGGAGCUUGCUCCUCUGACGUUAGCGGCGGACGGGUGAGUAACACGUGGAUAACCUACCUAUAAGACUUGGAUAACUUCGGGAAACCGGAGCUAAUACCGGAUAAUAUCUUGAACCGCAUGGUUCAAUAGUGAAAGACGGUUUUGCUGUCACUUAUAGAUGGAUCCGCGCCGCAUUAGCUAGUUGGUCAGGUAACGGCUUACCAAGGCGACGAUGCGUAGCCGACCUGAGAGGGGGAUCGGCCACACUGGAACUGAGACACGGUCCAGACUCCUACGGGAGGCAGCAGUAGGGAAUCUUCCGCAAUGGGCGAAAGCCUGACGGAGCAACGCCGCGUGAGUGAUGAAGGUCUUCGGAUCGUAAAACUCUGUUAUUAGGGAAGAACAAAUGUGUAAGUAACUAUGCACGUCUUGACGGUACCUAAUCAGAAAGCCACGGCUAACUACGUG